rnacentral:tRNA from 1 species
UCCCUGGUGGUCCAGUGGCUAAGACUCUGUGCUCCCAAUGCAGGAGGCCUGGGUUCAGUCCCUGGUCAGGGAA